GAAGACAAGGAGAACAGCAAANGGAAAGAGGGGAAGAGGGGNNGGGCAAGAAAGGGNNAGCGCAAAAANGAAAGGAAGAGAGGGAGCAGAGAGAGAAGAGCNGAGGGACCACGCGAGAGAAAAGAACCAAGGAACGAAAACACAGAGGAAGAAAANANNAAGGGANAAAAAANAAANNANANNNGNNANNNNANNNNANGNNNGNNNNNNNNUUUUAGAGUUGAUCCCUGGCUCAGAUUGAAGGCUGGCGGCAGCUUUAACACAUGCAAGUCGAACGAUGACUCUCUAGCUUGCUAGAGAUGAUUAGUGGCGGACGGGUGAGUAACAUUUAGGAAUCUACCUAGUAGUGGGGGAUAGCUCGGGGAAACUCGAAUUAAUACCGCAUACGACCUACGGGUGAAAGGGGGCGCAAGCUCUUGCUAUUAGAUGAGCCUAAAUCAGAUUAGCUAGUUGGUGGGGUAAAGGCCCACCAAGGCGACGAUCUGUAACUGGUCUGAGAGGAUGAUCAGUCACACCGGAACUGAGACACGGUCCGGACUCCUACGGGAGGCAGCAGUGGGGAAUAUUGGACAAUGGGGGCAACCCUGAUCCAGCCAUGCCGCGUGUGUGAAGAAGGCCUUUUGGUUGUAAAGCACUUUAAGCAGGGAGGAGAGGCUAAUGGUUAAUACCCAUUAGAUUAGACGUUACCUGCAGAAUAAGCACCGGCUAACUCUGUGCCAGCAGCCGCGGUAAUACAGAGGGUGCGAGCGUUAAUCGGAAUUACUGGGCGUAAAGCGAGUGUAGGUGGCUCAUUAAGUCACAUGUGAAAUCCCCGGGCUUAACCUGGGAACUGCAUGUGAUACUGGUGGUGCUAGAAUAUGUGAGAGGGAAGUAGAAUUCCAGGUGUAGCGGUGAAAUGCGUAGAGAUCUGGAGGAAUACCGAUGGCGAAGGCAGCUUCCUGGCAUAAUAUGACACUGAGAUCGAAAGCG
rnacentral:rRNA from 1 species